rnacentral:ncRNA from 1 species
AGUAUUAAUUUCCCCAAGAGUUCACAUCGACGGGAAGGUUUGGCACCUCGAUGUCAGCUCUUCGCCACCUAGGGCUGUAGUAUGUUCCAAGGGUUGGGCUGUUCGUCCAUUAAAGCGGUACGUGAGCUGUGUUCGUCCAUUAAAGCGGUAUGUGAGCUGGGUUCAGAACGUCAUGAGACAGUUC